rnacentral:miRNA from 1 species
CUGUCGGAGCCGAUGUUCUAGCU